GAUUUUAUGAACUUACGAAGAUGAAUGGCAUUUUAGUAAAUUCACUAUCCUUGAUCAUUGGCCUAAGUUAUUUUAUUAUUUUUCUUUCAAAUUUUGUUAAGUAUGGGACCCAUGCCCACCACUCACUCUCUUCCACAUGGGACUUUCCUUACCACACAUCCAGACCCCCUCUCUCUUCUCUUGAUUUUCUCCCUCACCUCUUUCUUGCUCUAAAUCUCCCUCUCCAGAAAUCACAUAUCACCACCUCCGCUGAACCCAGACCGAGCAGACCGCACCAACCAACACCACCUUAAGACCCUCCCAGUCUUGAUCUCAAACCAGGUCGAGGCCUUUCUCCCUCAUUCUCUCUACAUAGUGACACCAUCACUGUGCAUAUUUUCCUCCAUCGAGGUUUUGAAUUUCUGACAAUGAUAUCAACUAGGGGAGACUUCCAAGUUUUCCAGAUAGCCGCAAUUUUUGCAGGCUAUUUUCAAGCCACCUAUUUUACUUGGUGUGAAUACUAUCGGAGACUUCAGCUUUUCUAGUUCGAAAGGAUACGGCCUCGCAAGUAUCUGUUUAGUAGCAGAGCUUUUGUGAUGAAGAUUCCUGGCAAAUGUUGGUAUAGGUGAUUACCCUUGAUUGUAUAAUUCUUAUUCUACCUUACUGUACUUUUCAUAUGCUCUGACAUCACGUGUGAAUUGUGUUCAAUCCCGCUCACAUGCGCACUCUUACAUUUAGGCACUUUAGGUUUAAAUUUAUUCACUUUUUCCACAUCACUACAGUUUAUGGCUUCGUCACCUUCCUGUAUCGGCCAGCACAGCUCAAUUCGAAGUCCAGGUGGACACUUUGGGUCGGGGUGUGUUAGUUUGGUAUCAGAGCAUAAGUUUGGGCAAUAUUGCGUCCAUCACAUACGUGAUGUAAGCAUUCUCAGUUUUUGAACCUAAUGUCGAAUCUUGCCACCCCAUCGAAUACAAAAAACGUGUUAGCUUUUCCUAAGUUUUGGACAGAUUAGGCGACUUAUUGACAUGCUAGAAAAUCGUUUUGGCGAACGCCUUCAGACUUCAAGUGAAGAAUUUCCCUGCCAAGGAAAAUCCCUGUUUGGAAUGAAUUGUUGGCCCUAAAGCCGGGCUAAUGUAUUGAUAGUUGUGUACCACUAGGAAUUUACCAAUUAAUCCCAUUACUACUAUCCACUCAUCAUUACUAACCCUUCAAGUUAGGAACCUAAAAAUAGCUUUGAUUCCUUGGCGGUACCAUUAGUAUACCACCAAUCAAAUUUCCUACAAAGUUUUACUUUCUGUCAAAAUCUCUGAAAAUGUCUCGAAUGACAAUGUGGUGCUAAAAUGCUAGCACUCGAUGAAGAACAUCUUGGGGACAAUCACUUUUGAUCCCCAACAACACCAAUCUUUUAAACGUAGUUAUAAUUUCGGAUCUUUAGGAGGAAAAUCAAAUAUCAUUAAACCUGUUCUAAAGUAGGUUAGUAGUGAAUUCCUUUUCCUAGGCUUAGAGCACUUCAAUCAAUACUAGUUCCCAAAAUUUCUUUCAAUGUUGUACUCGUCAUUUCAAUGAGUAUAGGCAUGAGACUGCAAAUUGUUAUACCUACGGUUAGUAGAAAUCCUCGAAGCAGUAAGUAUUUUCCCCAUAAUCAACGAAACCAACUCACAGGACCAGUUCCUUACCAAUCAUUCGAAACCAUCCACCCGAGCAGGCUUAAACCUGUAAUCAGCCUACGAUGGUGCUACUACUUGUUGAUAUUGUCCGACAUCCAGAAUAUGUCAACCAGUAUUCAGGGGGUAUGAUUUAUGAAAUCGGACACAUGCUACUAUCUAGGAGUGAUAUCUUUAUGCCCGAACGCUGGUUCACAAUUUUAGGAUAAUAAACAAUAUCAAAAUAUCUUAAAUGCGUUAAUUAGCAAUGUGACUAAUAGACUGAUUAAUUUUGACUACCAAAGCCGAAGGAAUUACAAUUGUGGAAAUUUAGGAGUAAGCCUUGUAGGAGGACCGUAAACUUGCAGUUGUGUAAACCAUUUUACCCAUCUAGGUAACCAGAAGAUUCUCAACUAGUCGCCUUUCUGAUCAACUCCACAGACAAACAUUAAAAUUGAAGCAUGAGUUGAAUUAUUCCUGUAAGAGUGAAUUGAGCAUCGUGAAAGCUGUGAAGACUUGUUAGUACAUGUUGUAGAGAAAAGAAGUAGUAUUGUACGUUCUGAGGAAACAUAUAUCUCUGAUAUCACUUUUCAAAAUUUUACAUGGGAUACCACUAAAUUGUGAAGUGAAGUACACCACCGAUUCACUUUCUCGUACUACACCAGUUUUCCUUGCAUAUUUUCGAACUACUCCUACAUCAUUGAGAGAACUUAGUUACAAAGGCUUACCAAUUAGGAAUUUACCUAACCAAAUACUUUAUCUAGGGAACCUCAAACCUAGUCACGAGGAUGAUAGACCGAACCUUAGGAUGGUACCUGGAUUCCUGGCAACAUAAUUCGGUGACGAUUAAAACCUAUACUUCAAGUUGAUGGUCUGUCUGACCAACUUUUUAGAGUCCAAAUUUUCUUUCAUAGCCUAACGAAUUUGUAGUAGUCUUAUCGACAACUUUCUCACCUACUUUAGAAAUGAGAUCAAAUUUUCUAAACACUGAUAGUCAACUUUAUACCAAGUUCUCCAGAUGUUAGCUUUGUUAGAUUAGGUAUCUUUCUUGGAAGAUAUGAUCUCAGCUGGCGAUAUUAUAUUUAUUUCCCCAAAAGGUUGUAGCAGUGUGACAUUCCCACAAAUUAUUGUGAAAUGCGAGACGUCCUUGGCCUUGUCGAUUUUGAUCGGCGGUUUAUUAAUGAUUUUUCAACUAUAGCAUUUUCCUCACAAGUUAACAAAGGAAAGUUAGUUUACCUUUAGAUGCUAAAGGUGGAUAAAGUUUCUGACAACUGAGGUGUUGCUUCUUUUCGACCAUUGUUCGUACACCCUUCGAUAACAACGAUGAUUACAUAAUCUAUAAUGAUGUUUCACUAAAUGAUUUGACUGCGUACCAAUGUAGCAUGACAGAGUAUCACUUAUGUUUUUUUGAUAGUCAAAACCGUAUGAAGUGAACCAUCUUACUCAUGACUUAGAAUUAGCAGCUACCAUCUUUACUUGAAAACUGGAUGACACUUUUCUAUGGAGAAAUGUGUCCAAAAUCUUUACUAGCCUUAGACUUCUCAAAUGUAUCUUCAUUUGAAAGGAACUAAAAUUUUGACAGCGACGAUGGAAGAACCAAAUCAACAUCUACGAUUGCACCAUCGUGUAUCACCCCGGUUAUGCAAAUGUAAUUACUGUUACAGUAGCAAAAGACAUAUAUCCCUUGAACACUUUCAGCCUAUCCUAUCCCAUUUCAGCUAGAAUUCACGAGUAUUGAUACGACGUUACUUACAAACUAUCAAGAAAUCGUUCGAGUGGUUAUAAUCAAUUAUGAUAUCUAAAUAGAGAUGGAAAAUAUCACCAUAAGUUCCCAAUACAAGUUAUCUUGUACAUGUGGAGAUUAUGAUGAUAUUUUGGUGAUUUUCGACCAGCUUGACAAGUUAGCUCACUUUCUGUUGGUCCCAAAGGGGCAACAUUUUAGACCACUUGGUAAGAUUCAUCAUUUUUUAUUAGUUUUGCUAGCAGUUUCAAUCAGCAUUUACUCUGACUGUAAUUCCAUAUUCAUCUAUUUGUGCCAGAAGGCAUUCCAGUCAACCUUAGAUACGUGUCUAUCCUACUGCAUUUCGUAUUAUUUAAUAUGCAGAUAGAUUGUCUAGGAAAUUCGCUCAGACAUAUAAUUUUUAGUUGUGACCGUCAACUCUUCAAUCACUCAACAAUUACUCUGCUGAACAAAUCUUUACUGUUGGUGAUUGAAUCUCUUGGAAGCUACCGUUGUAGCGAGAUGUUAUGCAUUCAAUCAGUUAUCUUGUACUCUUGAUUUGAUGGACUUGUUUUGACCUUCAAAUUCUUGGGUGUUCUUUUAGCCUUCUUGACAUAGUUCUUUUAUCUUGUACUUGCUAAGACGUUGUCAACUACAUUAUUUAGCUACAUGGUGUCCAUGUUACUAUUGUAUCUCACUGUGAUGCGCGUUUAACUUCUAAGUCUUGGGAAGUCUUCUUGAAGGCCAUGAGUACUAAGCUUUUGUUUUUGUCCAGUACCACAUUUCACCCUCAGACUAACGACCAGUUUGAACGAAUUAUUCAGACCUUAGUGGACAUGUUGCGUUUGUCUGUUCUGUAGUUUUUGCAAGGUUAUGGUAAACACUUAUCCUUGUUUGAGUUACGUACAAUGAUAAUUAUUAUUCUAGUUUGGCUAUGGUAUCGUUUGAGCCAUUUUAUAGAGAUUUUAUGCAUAGUACAUGAUUGACAAA